GAUGAACGCUGGCGGCGUGCCUAAUACAUGCAAGUCGAGCGAACAGAUAAGGAGCUUGCUCCUUUGACGUUAGCGGCGGACGGGUGAGUAACACGUGGGUAACCUACCUAUAAGACUGGAAUAACUCCGGGAAACCGGGGCUAAUGCCGGAUAACAUAUAGAACCGCAUGGUUCUAUAGUGAAAGAAUGUUUUGCUAUCACUUAUAUAUCGACCCGCGCCAUAUUAGCUAGUUGGUAAGGUACUGGCUUACCAAGGCCACGAUACGUAGCCGACCUGAGAGGGUGAUCGGCCACACUGGAACUGAGACACGGUCCAGACUCCUACGGGAGGCAGCAGUAGGGAAUCUUCCGCAAUGGGCGAAAGCCUGACGGAGCAACGCCGCGUGAGUGAUGAAGGGUUUCGGCUCGUAAAACUCUGUUAUUAGGGAAGAACAUAUGUGUAAGUAACUGUGCACAUCUUGACGGUACCUAAUCAGAAAGCCACGGCUAACUACGUGCCAGCAGCCGCAGUAAUAC
rnacentral:rRNA from 1 species